UUUUUAAAAAAAUUGUUUAAGGACCAGAUAUAUUAAUUCGAUCAAUAAUGUAAAUUUUUUUUCAUACGAUAUUUCUUAAAUAGUUUUUAUAUAAAUUUACACGCUUAUCCUAGUACCUAUUGUAAUCAGAACUAUAACCUUCAAAUUUUAUAAAUAAAUAAUUUUUGAAGUCGUUAUCAAUUCAGAAAUACAAUAAACGAAUUUUAGCCAGGAAAAUGAGAUAAUCUAAUUGACUUGGAAAUAAAGAGAAUCUUAGAGUAUAUAGUUUUCUUUAUUUUUGAUGAUUUUGUAAGAAUUACUAUAAAAAACAUUUAAAAUUUCUGUUUUGCCUGAUACCUUUCCACUUCGUAUUGUUUUACUCCAACUUUUGAUUUAUGACUUAUUGGACCUAAAUUUCUAGGACGUGGUUUACACCUCAUUAGAAAACCCCUAAAUUUCUUAGUUUGACCAUCUUUAGACCAUCUUCAAGAAUUUUUUUUGAAUAAAUAAAAUUAAUAGUUUAUUCUUGGUAAAUCUGAAAUCUAAUAAAAAUAGUAGAUUUUUCUGUAAAAUUUUCAUCAUCUCAGUUGUUCUUCUUAAGGGAGUAUUUGAAGAAAGUAGUUUAUACUUUCAUGAUGGAUGAAGCUAAUAACUAAAACUCAAUCAAAACUCAUUUCAAAUUGUCGUCAGUCAAACGUAGAGACAGUGCAUUUAUACUGAGAGCAUCUCCAUUGCUCAGGUUCUCCAUGAAUCAUAUAAUCUAUCUAUAUUAUAAUAGAAGAGUUUUUACUCUCUUCUAAGCAUGUCCACGUGUGCAGCUUUGUGGACUCCACUUUAUUUUUAUUUUUGGUUUUGUCGUAAAAGAUAUCUGAUUAUCCAACGAAACUAUGCGUUUUGGCUUCCAGGUUACGGUUUUCUGUUUUUUUUGUUCUUCGACUCUUCUUCAACCUCUCCGUAUCUUUCAACUUUCUCUGCGAACAUAUAUUUUAUCCUGUCAUCUCUUCACCUCCCUUAACGCUCAACGAGGUUCAACGUAUCCUACUAAAUUCCCCCGAUUAAUGUGAUACACAUUAAAAGCAAUUACAUUCUCGACCUCUCUGUUUUCAUGAAGCAGUGUGUGUUUCCAUGAAGCAGUGUGUGUUUCUCUACCUUUACAUAAGUCUUCCUUAUAUAUGCUUGAUCUUAAACAUUGGAGCCCUGUGAAUUGGUAAAUAGCAGAACGAUAAGAGCGGCUUGGUCUGCACGUGAGCAGUAAGGUGAUUCUCACUGCCUUCUUUCAAUGACGACAAAGAGGAACUUUAAGGAAAUCUCCGUUGCUGCCGCUUCCUCACCGAUGAACAACGGUUACACAAGCCGGAAGCUAACGGAGGAAGCGUAUGCGCAGCAAAAGGAAGUUGAGGCUGAAGAAAACGCCGAGAAUAUCUCCAUGAGCGCCUUCUUCAAGCUAUCAUUGCAUGAGUUGGAAGAUGUUACUGAUGAUGUUGAUGAGAUUGAGAUCCAAAGCCAACUUGAUUACCAUGAUAUGGCCUGUAGUGAGAAAGAAGAGAAGUUGUUACUAGAUGCAUUCUUUGAUCGAUGAGCAUAUCCGAUCUGUUCAAUCUAACUUCCAGAAGAUCAAAAAGGAGAAAGACAAGCAGCGAAAUGAUGAUGCAUUAAGACACUAAGCAAGGAGCUAUCACAACCAAUAGAGACCAAAAUCUGCCGUUAAGGCCGUGUUCGGACGGGUCGAGUGAUACUGCUGUGGAGUCACGCAAGAAAUCAGGUAUGCAAAUGUCAAAACACAUAAACGUCAUGUGAGAACUAGACUUUACUUCACAUAUGUGUGUGUGAUUGAGAGUGAAACGGCGUUGAUGGAACAGGAAUCGCAUAUUCAUUCGCUGAUGAACGUACUUAGAUACUGCAACAUGGACGAAUCACUUCAAGGAGAGGAGAGUCUCAUCUCCCAAAACGCAUUGUUUAGUUUUUUUGCAACACUGGAGUGGGCUUUACUUGGAUUCUAUGUGUUUUUGGUCUCUUUCAUGAUGUAGGUCUGCUUCCUGAUAUCGUCCAAAUCAUUGUUUCACGUCUAGGGUUGCUUUCAUCCUCUAAUAAAAUUAAUGUAGUUGGGGUAUGCAAAGAUGUCUCGGCAAUUUCUGUUUGCGAGAACCUCAGUUAGAUCACAGAGCUUAUGAAAUAAGAGAGUUUGUAGAUU